rnacentral:rRNA from 1 species
GACGAACGCUGGCGGCGUGCUUAACACAUGCAAGUCGAACGAAGUGGCGGACGGGUGAGUAAUACGUGGGUAACCUGCCCUCCUUUUUGGGAUAAGCAUUGGAAGCGGGGUCUAAAACCGACUAAAGGGGGAUGGGCUCGCUGCCUAUCAGCUUGUUGGUGGGGUGAGGGCGUGACAAGGCGGUGACGGGUAGCCGGCCUGAGAGGGUGAACGGCAACAUUGGGACGGGGGUACGGCCCACAGGCGUACGGGAGGGAGAAGUGGGGGAUAUGGCACAAUGGGCGAAAGCGUGAUGCCGCGAGGCCGAGGAGGGGAUGAAGGUUUUAGGGUUGUAAACCUCGUGCGCUAUCGAACGGUUAGGUGGAGAAGAAGCGCCGGCUAACUACGUGCCAGCAGCCGCGGUAAUAC